CUUUGCUAAAGAGUCUUCUGAAAUCCACAACAGUUCCUGUAACUUUAAACCUGGGCUGAGAUCAUAAUUUUAGUACUGACCAAACAGAGUGUGGAGGGCGGGCCCGACUCUUCUUUUUGAGACCACCUUAGACAUGCUCCCACCCCUUAGCUAAAGGAAAAAUGCUGACUCCACUCAGUUACUUUUCUUUAGCUGUAUAGUUAUCAUCUGGAAAAACCUUCCUUGCGUUAAAGGAAUAUUUCAAAUACCAAAGUAUUUUCUGCAGUGACUUUUUUUGUGAACUCAACUCUCUCCCGCCUCUAAAAAAAAUUGACUCCAUCUGGUCUCGGGAUCGGAAAGCUAAUCUCUAACCAUAGCAAAGAUGUUUAUUAAAAUUCAGAUCAUCAUCUUCGUGCUAGGGAGCAUGCCUUUCAUAGCACUUGCUGAAGAAGUCUCAGAACCAAAAAUCCUGUUUAUCUGCCUCU
rnacentral:lncRNA from 1 species